AUUGAACGCUGGCGGCAUGCCUUACACAUGCAAGUCGAACGGUAACGCGGGGGCAACCCUGGCGACGAGUGGCGAACGGGUGAGUAAUACAUCGGGACGUGUCCUGUUGUGGGGGGAUAACCCAUCGAAAGGUGAGCUAAUACCGCAUGAUCUGGAGACAGCAAAGCAGGGGACCGGUAACGGCCUUGCGCGAUUGGAGCGGCCGAUGUCCGAUUAGCUAGUUGGUGGGGUAAAGGCCCACCAAGGCAACGAUCGGUAGCUGGUCUGAGAGGAUGAUCAGCCACACUGGGGCUGAGACACGGCCCAGACUCCUACGGGAGGCAGCAGUGGGGAAUUUUGGACAAUGGGGGCAACCCUGAUCCAGCCAUGCCGCGUGAGUGAAGAAGGCCUCGG
rnacentral:rRNA from 1 species